GGUGGAUCUUUCUAGAUUUGUUUGCAUCCCUAGUUUAUGCUCCAAUAGGAAUGAAUUGGCUUCUGAUGACUACAUAGUAAGAGAUCUACUGUGCGGACAGAUACGGAUCAAACAUCUAAGCAAUGGUGAUGCUGUAAGGAUAAGUUUGAACAGAAUGAGCCUGAUCGAGAAAAAGAAGCCAAGAUAUUAGAUUCCAUUGAACAUCUGUUCAACAAGCAAGGAAAGAUUGGUGUCGGCCGCACAAAUAUUUCAUAAAAAAGUGUGGAGAAAAGGAUCCAGAGGAAGUAAAAAAACACAAACACAAACAGGUGCUGGUGCAGGCAGAUUGGGAUUCGUUAUGCGAUUAUUGGACGAUUGAAUGGUAUAAGAAAAAAUCAGCAACCAAUGCUUUGAAUCAGCAUUCAAGGAGCUAAAUCAUUUGCUUCUUACUUGUUUGAUAAGCAAAAAGCAAAGGAGGUUGAUAAUUCUAGUGGAUUAAUUGAGCUCUAUCAUGAUAUGUGCCAUCACAAGACUAAGGGUUGAUCUUGGCCAGUAUCAGAGAAAAAC